CAGUCGCCACGGUAACACCGAGGGUGCAAGCGUUAAUCGGAAUUACUGGGCGUAAAGCGCGCGUAGGUGGUUUGUUAAGUUGGAUGUGAAAUCCCCGGGCUCAACCUGGGAACUGCAUCCAAAACUGGCAAGCUAGAGUAUGGUAGAGGGUGGUGGAAUUUCCUGUGUAGCGGUGAAAUGCGUAGAUAUAGGAAGGAACACCAGUGGCGAAGGCGACCACCUGGACUGAUACUGACACUGAGGUGCGAAAGCGUGGGGAGCAAACAGGAUUAGAUACCCGCGUAGUCCCUGUCUCUUAUAC
rnacentral:rRNA from 1 species